rnacentral:pre_miRNA from 1 species
AAAGUACUCCCUCCAUCCCAAAAUUCUUGUCUUAGAUUUGUCUAGAUACGGAUGUAUCAAGUCACAUUUUAGUAUUAGAUACAUCCGUAGCUAGACAAAUCUAAGACAAGAAAUUUGGGACAGAGGGAGUAGUUG